rnacentral:rRNA from 1 species
UGCAUGGCUGUCGUCAGCUCGUGUUGUGAAAUGUUGGGUUAAGUCCCGCAACGAGCGCAACCCUUAUCCUUUGUUGCCAGCGGUCCGGCCGGGAACUCAAAGGAGACUGCCAGUGAUAAACUGGAGGAAGGUGGGGAUGACGUCAAGUCAUCAUGGCCCUUACGACCAGGGCUACACACGUGCUACAAUGGCGCAUACAAAGAGAAGCGACCUCGCGAGAGCAAGCGGACCUCAUAAAGUGCGUCGUAGUCCGGAUUGGAGUCUGCAACUCGACUCCAUGAAGUCGGAAUCGCUAGUAAUCGUGGAUCAGAAUGCCACGGUGAAUACGUUCCCGGGCCUUGUACACACCGCCCGUCACACCAUGGGAGUGGGUUGCAAAAGAAGUAGGUAGCUUAACCUUCGGGAGGGCGCUUACCACUUUGUGAUUCAUGACUGGGGUGAAGUCGUAACAAGGUAACCGUAGGGGAACCUGCGGCUGAUCACCUC